rnacentral:rRNA from 1 species
UGUAAGCGUAUACCAAAGUUGUUGCAGUUAAAACGCUCGUAGUCGGAAUUUGGCAGUUCCGGAUGUGUGCACGUCGUGUGCGCACUUCGCGGGGAUUGCUUUUGUGGUCUUGCGUAGGACGAGGCACUUUUAUUAGUGAACGUCCUCACGCAACCACUUUUUACUGUGAGAAAAUCAGAGUGCUCAAAGCAGGCAUUUGCCGUGAAUGUAUUAGCAUGGAAUAAUAGAAUAGGACUUGGUUCUAUUUUGUUGGUUUGUUGGGACUGAGUAAUGAUUAAGAGGGACAGUUGGGGGCACUUGUAUUUCGGUGCUAGAGGUGAAAUUCUUAGAUUACCGAAAGACAAACUGCUGCGAAAGCGUCUGCCAAGGAUGUUUUCAUUGA